CACGGCCCUGUCUCCCAACCCUUGUACCAGUGCUGGGCUCAGACCCUGGUACAGGCCUGGGGGACAGGGACCUGGGGAUCCUGGCACCGGCAGGCCUGAAGGGGUGAGGUCAGCGGGCAUUCAGACCUCCCUUCCCUGUACCCCCAUCUCUGCUGCGGCUUUGAUGCAGGUCUCUCCCCGUUGGGUCCCACAGAUCCUCUGGUGUGCUCCUGCCUCGCUGUCCCCCCACCCCACGCCUGUCAUCCCACCUCUGUGAUGCGCAAAGUGCACCUGUUUCUAUCGUACCUGCCUCUCGCAGUGGUCUCUGUGCUCUCCCCAGCUCUGCAAAACCCUUCCUCCCCAUGUGCCACAACCCUGGGCCACUGUGUCUGUUCUGUCCUGCCCUGUUCCUCCCAAGGCCCCCAUCUCUGCGGCCUCUGGGUGUUGGGCCAUCUCCGGGCGCUUCCUACUCACUUCCUUCCCAGCAGCCUGGGCCCCGGUACCACUGAGCGGGCUCCAGGACAGCGUCAUGAUGCCACUUGCCCACACCACCGAUCUCCUUACUUCGAUUUUGAGGCAGCUGGCGCAAAGGAAAUUUCUAGAAUCUGAGAUCUGGAACUCAGCUACUCACUGGGACUCCAGGUGGAGGACUUGGCCUCUCCCAGGUGACUUUCCUCAUAUGCAAAUAGACACGGGUAGGAGGCCUCUCUGACAGCAGCCUUGCUCAAUUCCCCGAGGGACACCUCCAUCCCCCCAGUGCUCUGGUUAAGGCACAGAGAUCCCAAGUCUGGCCUGGGAAUGAGAAAAUAACUUUAUUGCAUCGUGGGGAGCAGGCCAAUGUCCAGCCUCAGAACUUCUGGAACUGCUUCUUGGUGCCGGCAGCCUUGGUGACCUUGAGCACGUUGAAGCGCACUGUCUUGCUCAGGGGCCGACACUCACCCACUGUGACGAUGUCACCGAUCUGGACGUCCCUGUGGAGGCAGGACUUCUCACCUUGCUCCCAAGAUCCUCCCCGCCCAGAAGGCCACCAUUAUCAGCUGCCCACAUCCCCACCCUCAUUGUACCUGGCUGACAUCUGGCACCCACCCUGCCUGAAGGUGCCCUCUGAGGAAGCAGGACUUUGUCCCUGGCUCACCACUGAACCCCCAGCAUCUCACACCAAACCUGGCACAUGAUAAGCUCUAAAUAAAACAUGCUGAGGGAAUGAACAAA